GACGAACGCUGGCGGCGUGCCUAAUACAUGCAAGUCGAGCGGGCCUCCGGAGGUGCUUGCACCUCCGGAAGGCCAGCGGCGGACGGGUGAGUAACACGUGGGCAACCUGCCUUUGAGGCCGGGAUAACACCGGGAAACCGGUGCUAAUACCGGAUGCGUCCCCUUUCGCGCCUGCGAGAGGGGAGAAAGACGGUCUUUAAGGCCGUCGCUCAAAGAGGGGCCCGCGGCGCAUCAGCUGGUUGGUGGGGUAAGGGCCUACCAAGGCGACGAUGCGGUGCCGACCUGGGAGGGUGAUCGGCCACACUGGGACUGAGACACGGCCCAGACUCCUGCGGGAGGCAGCAGUAGGGAAUCAUCCGCAAUGGGCGAAAGCCUGACGGUGCAACGCCGCGUGAGUGAGGAAGGUUUUCGGAUCGUAAAGCUCUGUUGUGAGGGAAGAACAGCUUCCGGAGGAAAUGCCGGAGGUUUGCCGGUACCUCACCAGAAAGCCCCGGCUAACUACGUGCCAGCCGCCGCCGUAA
rnacentral:rRNA from 1 species